GAUUGUUUAGUUUAAGUAAAAUAAAUGUUUUGAAAACAUUUGAUAAGAAGAAUACAUCUUAAUAAUCA
rnacentral:tRNA from 1 species